AGCCAGCUGCAAGAGAUCCUUUCCUGCCAGCAUCGGCCUCAGCUCGCUGCAGACUCCUCUGGCAUCC
rnacentral:rRNA from 1 species